rnacentral:lncRNA from 1 species
GAGGGCCUUCUGUCAAUCAUGGCCUCGCCAUCUCUGCUCCCUUUCACACCAGGCAGCUGGACCCAUCGCUGUCAACCAGGGAAUGAAGACAUUUGGAGAAGAAGCGUUUACUGAAAGGAGAUUCCUGGGCUGGAGGAAAACCAUGAUCUACAACGAGGGAACUGAGCUGUCAAAACUAAGUGACUUGAUUGAGGCCAUGCAGCUGGCGAGGGGAGGACCAGGAUCUGAACCCAACUGGGUCUCCCAAGCCUGGGCCACUGAACCAUUUCACCUCUUGGAAAAACUUAAUGGUCAGAGUGGCCCACCCAGUCCAUGGACAGCAUGGAGGAUAAACUGCUUCCCUAGAAAUCCUCUCCAGCAUUCUUGCCACCACGACUUUGGGACACAUUGACCAUGAGGAGGAGCUGGUCAAUGAUGGACAGGAGUCCAGAUUAGCAGAGAUGUGGUAAUAAGGACACCGAUGCCUAAAUACUUGAAAUAUCCAAUAGGAAGCAUUCCACCUUUGUGCAAAUGCGAACCACAUCUCACCAAGUUCAGGCCAAGGCUGCCACCGGUGACGUUUUGGAAAAGAAAAAAAAAAGCGGGGGGAGAGGAGAGAAACAGAGAAGCAAGGAAUGCAGAAGAGAGCAGAGGCCACAAAAACAGCAGCAACGUGUCCUGUGUAUUCUGUUUCCUUGUAAAACUAUGAAGCAUGUUAAGGAGAUACUUCAUUUUUUGAGGAUUCAUACUCUUGUUUAUAUUAUAAUAAAAACAACCCAUGUUCUUUCUAAAAAUUUAGGCAAUGCCUUCGUGCACAUAAAAGUAAAACAAAAUCACCUGUAAUCCUACCACACGCAGAUCAGCACUUGCUAAUCUUUUCACAGGGAUCCUAAGAAUAUCCUAUUCUCUAUAGAAUAUAGUUGAUUUAUGUUACCUAAUAACUAACUGUUAACCAUUUUAAAAUUCUUCAGUUUUACAUUAUGCUAGAAAAAAGGAGCCGUCACUCUACGUGACAUUUCUGUAUAUUGGUUUAUUCAUUCAAUAAACAUUUUUUAAGUACC